rnacentral:rRNA from 1 species
UACGGAGGGUGCGAGCGUUGUCCGGAAUCAUUGGGCGUAAAGGGCGCGUAGGUGGCCCGGUCAGUUCGUGGUGAAAGCGCGGGGCUCAACUCCGCGUCGGCCAUGAAUACUGCUGGGCUUGAGCACUGUAGAGGCAGGCGGAAUUCCGGGUGUAGCGGUGGAAUGCGUAGAGAUCCGGAAGAACACCGGUGGCGAAGGCGGCCUGCUGGGCAGUAGCUGACACUGAGGCGCGACAGCGUGGGGAGCGAACAGG